ensembl:lincRNA BC043934 cDNA sequence BC043934
CUUUGUACUCCCGGGUGUGAGCGGUGAGGGAGUGGGCAGACCUUGUCAGUGUCCUAAUCCAUAGUCUCAGGACAGGGACAGGCCAAGAUGCGACAGCAAUGCUGGGCAUGGUUUGUUUUGCUCCAGCAGGUGUUGAACGUGUGGCUAUGCCAAAGGCCACCAGCAAACCCACACGAAGCAAACACAAAGCUUCCACUGAUGGGUCUGUGGGCUGCCGAUUCUUGUGGGCUUUACAGUGCGGCAACGGCAGUGCUGGUCACAUGGACCGAGAGACUGUUUUGAUGCCAGAGACUAAUGCUCCGAUCCGAUCCGUCACCACAGGAGUUAAAGGAGCAGCCAAGAGAUCAGCGUGGUUGAACCCCCGCUCUAAGCUGCCUGCCGUUCUCUCCUCCCCUCCCACUCUGAGACUGCAGUUCACAUGCCGAAGACAAAUGGCAUAAAGGGCAGGCAAUUAAUUUUUUCAGCUGGAGACUGAUGGAAUGUGGGUGUUUGGCAUGCACCUCUGUCUCCAGUCUCCUCAGGGAAAUACCUCCCGGAGGGCCCUUCAAAUUCCUCAUCUGCCCUUUAGGACCAAUAUGUAAUUCAGUCCUGAAAAAUCAGUCGGAAUGGGUCUUGUGUCCACUAUACCAAGAGCCCAAGGACUGCACAGACGACAGGCCCAUUCGUUUAUUUGUGGUUUUGGUUUGUUUGUUUUUGUUUUCUAACCCAAGGUUUCAUGUAGUUUAGGCUGGCCUCAAACUCACUAUGUGGACAAGGCUGGCCUUGGACUUCUGAUCCUCCUUCUUGUUGGGGUUACAGGUGUGUGUAACUGAGGGGACAGUUCGUCAUGACUUUCCUUGGAGAGAGAGAAAGGUCGUCUUAGAAUAUACCUCAGGGUCUAGAUUCCAAGUCCCCAGAACCUCUGUUGGGUUGGACCAGGCCAGCCAACCUGGUGAACAAAGGCAAGCAGAGCAUAAAGAAUUUACUGGAUAGGAUGCAGAGAAGCCCUGGGGACGGGGUGCACACCUUUAAUCCUAGCACUCCGGAGGCUGGGGCUGGUUGAUGUCUGAGUUCUAGGCCUACUCUGGUUGAUAGAGUGAGUUCUAGAACAGCUAGGGCCACACAGAGAAACCCUGUCUUAAAGGGGGGGGGGGGGGCUGAGGAAGGGGGGAACCAUGCAGGGAAGUGUAUUAACAUAACAGCCAACAGGACCUGGAACUGGAGAAAAACUACUGCAUCCAUGUUGAUAGAGGUAUGAAGAUGUCAGAGGUAAACAUACAGGCUCAGGCUGAGCAGGGAUAAAACUCAAUAGUAAAACACAUAUCUAGCAACACGGGUUUAAGGCCCAGAGCUGCUGCAGCUGCUGUGGCGGAGGCCGAGGCAGCUGUUGCUGUUGAAGAAGAGGAGGAGGAGGAGGAGGAGGAAGAAGGAAGAGGAAGAUGAUGUAGGUCUGUUGGGAUGGGCUGUAGCUGUGUGUUAAAGCAUGUGUUAAGGCUUGCCUUUGAUUCCCAGAAGCGUAUUAACAAGGCAGACAGGCAUGGUGGCGCAUUUCGGCAUUUGGAAAGCAGGAGCCAGAGGAUCAAAAUUUUAAAACAAGCCUGGGCUACAUGAGACCCUUAAAAAGAAAACAAAUAAAAUGCAUUCUUCUGUUGGAAACUUAGGAGGGUGACCUC